rnacentral:tRNA from 3 species
GGCGCUGUAGCUCAGUUGGAAGAGCGCGGAUCCUAUAAGUCCUGGGUCGCGGGUUCGAGUCCCGCCAGCGCUA